GAUCAGUUGAUGUCGGGUAAUACGGAGGGUGCAAGCGUUACUCGGAAUCACUGGGCGUAAAGCGCAUGUAGGCGGUUGUUUAAGUUAGAAGUGAAAGCCUACGGCUCAACCGUGGAACAGCUUCUAAAACUGAAUGACUAGAGUCUGGGAGAGGAAGAUGGAAUUAGUAGUGUAGGGGUAAAAUCCGUAGAGAUUACUAGGAAUACCGAAAGCGAAGGCGAUCUUCUGGAACAGGACUGACGCUGAGAUGCGAAAGCGUGGGGAGCAAACAGGAUUAGAUACCCUGGUAGUCCACGCCCUAAACGAUGAAUGUUAGUCGUUGGAGUGCUAGCCACUUCAGUGAUGCAGCUAACGCAUUAAACAUUCCGCCUGGGGAGUACGGCCGCAAGGUUAAAACUCAAAGGAAUAGACGGGGACCCGCACAAGUGGUGGAGCAUGUGGUUUAAUUCGAAGAUACGCGAAGAACCUUACCUGGCCUUGACAUAUACCAGAACCUGCCAGAGAUGGUGGGGUGCCUUCGGGAACUGGUAUACAGGUGCUGCACGGCUGUCGUCAGCUCGUGUCGUGAGAUGUUGGGUUAAGUCCCGCAACGAGCGCAACCCUCGUGACUAGUUACUAACAGCAUAGGCUGAGGACUCUAUCAGACUGCCUUCGUAAGGAGGAGGAAGGUGAGGACACGUCAGUCAUCAUGGCCUUAACGGCCAGGGGCGACACACGUGCUUACAAUGGGAAGGACAAAGAGAAGCAAAAUUGUGAGGUGGACAAAUCUAUAAACCGUGCUCUCAAGUUCGGGAUUGCAGUUCUGGGAAUUCGAUUGUUGAAGGUGGGAAUCCUUAAUUCAUCCGUGAUUCAGCCAUGUCCCCGGGGAAUAACGUUCCCCGGGGUCUUGGAAAUCAACAGGGCCGGGUAAACCAUGGGGAAGUUGGAAUUCACCCCGAAAGGGGGAUGCUAACAAUAGGCUACCGGCCCAGGGGGAAUUAACGCACCGGGGGUAAAC
rnacentral:rRNA from 1 species